UACGUAGGGUGCGAGCGUUGUCCGGAAUUACUGGGCGUAAAGAGCUCGUAGGUGGUUUGUCGCGUUGUUCGUGAAAUCUCACGGCUUAACUGUGAGCGUGCGGGGCGAUACGGGCAGACUGGAGUACUGCAGGGGAGACUGGAAUUCCUGGUGUAGCGGUGGAAUGCGCAGAUAUCAGGAGGAACACCGGUGGCGAAGGCGGGUCUCUGGGCAGUAACUGACGCUGAGGAGCGAAAGCGUGGGGAGCGAACAGG
rnacentral:rRNA from 1 species